ACUCCUACGGGAGGCAGCAGUGGGGAAUUUUGGACAAUGGGCGAAAGCCUGAUCCAGCAAUGCCGCGUGAGUGAAGAAGGCCUUCGGGUUGUAAAGCUCUUUUGUCAGGGAAGAAACGGUGUUUUCUAAUACAGAAUGCUAAUGACGGUACCUGAAGAAUAAGCACCGGCUAACUACGUGCCAGCAGCCGCGGUAAUACGUAGGGUGCAAGCGUUAAUCGGAAUUACUGGGCGUAAAGCGUGCGCAGGCGGUUUUGUAAGUCUGAUGUGAAAUCCCCGGGCUCAACCUGGGAAUUGCGUUGGAGACUGCAAGGCUAGAAUCUGGCAGAGGGGGGUAGAAUUCCACGUGUAGCAGUGAAAUGCGUAGAUAUGUGGAGGAACACCGAUGGCGAAGGCAGCCCCCUGGGUCAAGAUUGACGCUCAUGCACGAAAGCGUGGGGAGCAAACAGGAUUAGAUACCCUGGUAGUCCACGCCCUAAACGAUGUCUACUAGUUGUCGGGUUUUAAUUAACUUGGUAACGCAGCUAACGCGUGAAGUAGACCGCCUGGGGAGUACGGUCGCAAGAUUAAAACUCAAAUGAAUUGACGG
rnacentral:rRNA from 1 species